GAGAAGAGCGUGCCGCGACUUCAUUUGCAUGUGUUUCCCAUUCGUAUCUAGUUACAAGUGGGGAAAAGCCCUCGGUUCCUCGGACGUUCUUAAGAGCCCAUUACUUAGGCGGAACUUUCUAUAUCCAAUUCAGUUUCCACAUAAUGGUGAUCCGCUAGGGCUUAACAACUUGUCGGGCUCGACGUCGUUCUAUCGUCGACUUUUUAUUACUCCCUCUUUGGACGAUGGUCAGUCGUUAUUUCAAUCUGAAAAGAGCUACUCAUACGCCAUUUAACAUAAGACUCCGGUAGUAGUUACCUGCCUCCAGUACAAUUAAAUGAAUUGAGAAAAACGAGUUUCGUGUUUCCCCCUUCUUUUUUCUUUUUUUUUUUGGGUCUUGUUUUCUCCGUAGUGUUUUGUUUCUUCGUUCUCUUCACAUAUAAAUAAAAAGUUACCCGUCGUGAUGGAGAACACCUCAACGCAGGGGGAGAUCAAGUCCGAGCCGAAUGAGAAACAACAGAAGAGUGGCUGGUGGCCCAGCUUCAAAGCAUUAGGUCACGGCCUGUUGGCAGCGGUAGGUCUCCGUAGAGCAAAAAAUCCGUUCCAUGAACAAUAUCCCGAUUCCUGCCACCUCGGAGGAGAACCUGAGCUACUAGCUGAACACUGCAAACAUGUUCUAUUGGUUGCCGAAGAAAAACUGGGGCUGACUGAAAAAUAUUCCGAAGAGGAACCCUCGCCAUCAAAAGCGCAGGAACGGCUACGUAUUGAAUGAAUCCGCAUAUCAACACAUUUUUUUGUUGUUGCCGAUUUUCGGAACAAAAUGCUGUCAUUUCGAAAACUGUUUACAAAAGGAAUACACCCAAAUGAAAAAGACGGUUUGUCGAUUAUUCGGCAAUUCCUAGUCAUUUCGUAUGGCAAAAAGCCUCACAACGAGAAGGCCCAACCAGAUAUUAUCAGUUCAUUAUUAUUACUAGAUUAUUGUGUGAAUGCAAAAGUUGUCUCGCCUUCCUUUCACCGGAAUGAAAGGGUGCGACUACAUGCAUAGGCGGAUGCGAAAUUUAAACCUAUUCCGCGCGUCCGGCUACGUCAAGUUAUACGACAAAAGCAGUCCCGAACGGCGCUAAUAUGAAUUCCGCGUAUUAAAAACUGAAUAAAAUUCGGCUUUUGGAAGAAAUAUGGAAAUCACAAUUUAAAAAAAAAUCAAAUAAGAAACAACGAUAUGGCAUUGUGCAUAUAUU